GUUCUGCCGACUGCAUGGAGCUUAUCCACUGCUUUUGGCCACUGUUCACACCGCCGGCCGGCUAUAAUCCCAUCCACAUUAAUGCAUGACAGAUAUCUUGAUCAACUGUCAUACUAUAUUAUCAUUACAAGUCAAAGUAAUAGAUAUUAAGUGACCCAAUGGGUUAAUCCAACGAACCGACCCGGUCCUAUAGGAUUAAAUAAAGUUAACACAAUGACUAGGCCCAACGAG
rnacentral:lncRNA from 1 species